rnacentral:tRNA from 1 species
GUUUUAAUAGUUUAACUUAUAAAACAUUGAUCUUGUAAAUCAAAAUAGAAUAAUUUUCUUAAAACU